GGCGAGGAGAGUGAAGGUCUUAAUGUUGUUCAGCAACACAUCAAGUCUCACUGAGUAGAAGUGGAUCCGAAUUUGUAGAGACCUUUUUUUAUUGUUUUCAUGAUACCCUCAUCUCAUGGGGUUUUUGAUUGUUUGCUAGCUGCGUUUACUACCAAUUGAUUGUUUCAAUUUAUUGUGGUGGAACACCCUUUUUUAAUACAUGACAUGCGGAUUUAGCAAACAUUUUGGGCAUUCAAA
rnacentral:misc_RNA from 1 species